rnacentral:rRNA from 1 species
GUAGGUGGCAAGCGUUGUCCGGAAUUAUUGGGCGUAAAGCGCGCGCAGGCGGUCCUUUAAGUCUGAUGUGAAAGCCCACGGCUCAACCGUGGAGGGUCAUUGGAAACUGGGGGACUUGAGUACAGAAGAGGAAAGCGGAAUUCCAAGUGUAGCGGUGAAAUGCGUAGAGAUUUGGAGGAACACCAGUGGCGAAGGCGGCUUUCUGGUCUGUAACUGACGCUGAGGCGCGAAAGCGUGGGGAGCAAACAGGAUUAGAUACCCUGGUAGUCCACGCCGUAAACGAUGAGUGCUAAGUGUUAGGGGGUUUCCCGCCCCCCUUAGUGCUGCAGCUAACGCAUUAAGCACCCCGCCUGGGGAGUACGGCCGCAAGGCUG